rnacentral:rRNA from 1 species
UACAGAGGGGGCAAGCGUUAUUCGGAAUUAUUGGGCGUAAAGGGCGCGUAGGCGGCUUUGCAAGUGGCGGGUGAAAUCCCUCGGCUUAACCGAGGAACUGCCUGCCAGACUGUGAGGCUUGAGACCGGGAGAGGUGAGUGGAAUUCCCAGUGUAGCGGUGAAAUGCGUAGAUAUUGGGAGGAACACCAGUGGCGAAGGCGGCUCACUGGACCGGAACUGACGCUGAGGCGCGAAAGCGUGGGGGAGCAAACAGG